rnacentral:rRNA from 1 species
GAUGAACGCUGGCGGCGUGCCUAAUACAUGCAAGUCGAGCGAACGGACGCUAAGCUUGCUUCUCUGAUGUUAGCCGCACACGGGUGAGUAACACGUGUAUAACCUCCCUAUAUGACUGGUAUAACUUCGGGACACCGGAGCUUAUACCGGAUAAUAUUUUGAACCACAUUGUUCAAAAGUGAAAUACGGUCUUGCUGGCGGGUGUCGAUGGAUCCGCGCUGUAUUAGCUUGUUGUUAAGGUAGCGGCUUACCAAGGCUAUGACGGGUAGCCGACCUGAGAGGGUGACCGGCCACAUGGGGACUGAGAUACGGCCCAGACGCCUACGGGAGGCAGCAGUGGGAAAUAUUGCACAAUGGGCGGAAGCGUGAUGCAACAACGCCGCGUGCGGGAUGACGGCCUUCGGGUUGUAAACCGCUUUCGCCUGUGACGAAGCGUGAGUGACGGUAAUGGGUAAAGAAGCACCGGCUAACUACGUG